rnacentral:snRNA from 1 species
AUUCCGUCCAAGGCUAAAUAC